CCAAUAGUCUUACACAUUCAUAUGAUCUCUUUCAUUUUAAUCACAGACUUUAUGACUUUGUCCAAAAAUGUGAGAACUUAUUUCCCAAAGCAUUCUAAAAUGAAAAUCCGAAUAGCCAAAUUUUGCGCCUUUAUCAGAACCCUAAUAUUAAACCCCUAUGAUUACUGCUUUCUAGUAAAAUUCAAUCCAUUCCAAAGAGGUUUUUGGUGACGUGCGAGCUGCAAUGGCGCAUAUUGCACCACAAGAAGUGGAGCGCAUGCGUUGUUUGUUUUGACAAGAGAAGCCAUGGUUUGUGUAUCGUGAGAGGCCAGCAAAUUGCGAUCAUAACCUAUAAGUUGCUUUAGGUUCUGGACCUAGUAAUGUUGUCAUGUAAUCUUGAACACGAGCUGACUGGAUGAGAUUAACAGGUAAGUUAGUAGGUUUAUGGCCCGGGUCUCUUAUAUUUUCACUCCUAAAAAGCAGGUGCUGUAAAAGUUUUUGCCCAAUCAUAUGUGCACCUUGAUUGUAUCUAAGUGCAGAAUUUUACAUCUCAUUUUUCUUCUUUUAGUUAUUUUUGGGUUCUUUGUGGAAAGACGAGGAGGGAAAAAGGUUUUCUAAGGGCUCUUUUAGGAUGAAGAUAUAUUCUAAGAGGCAACUUUGUUAAAAUUUUUAAAAAGGGUGGGUAGUAGGACAUAGUUUUAGAUAACUUGUAUUAAUAUACACUUAAAAAAAGAAUAUUGUUUUCAGCAUUUUUGGGCCAAUUAGUAUUUUACUAAUAAUUUUCAAGUAUAACUGAUUAAAGGUUGGUAAGAGCUAAACAUUCCUAAAAUUGGAUCAUAAAAAAUGUAAUUUGAUGUAGAAAUAGUAACAUUUUGGAUUUCAGAGGAUCUCAUCUGUAUACUGUAUUUUGGAACUACUGUGUUUAUGUCUACAAUUGCAGAAUUUAUCAUCAGCAGGAUAAAAGGAGUAGUUGGACUACAUUCUAUUUUUGGAUGGUGUAAUUGUUCGAGUUCUCAUUUAAUAAAUACUAUAGUGCUGUGUGUGAAGUUGCAGUCCCACAACUUUAGAGUGGUAACUAUCUACAGGUAUUGAAUGAAUAUUUUUGUUGAGGUGAAAUUAAUGUUCUUUAACUGGCAGAGGUAGAAGGCAAUUGUGUUAUUUAUAUGCCUGCCUAAUGCAAUAAUGAAAAGGUGGAGCCUUGCUAACUGUGUUUGCUAUACUGUGGUAUUGGUAAAUAUGAGUAAUUGUGAAUUCCUAAAUAAAAUAAGGAAUCUCAGACAAUAGUUUUUUAUUUGGGGACACUUGAAAAGGUGUGUGUAGAUAAGUUACAUGUUUUGUUUUUUAUUUUUAUAAAAAUCCCUUUUUAUUCA